AGCAGCCGCGGUAAUUCCAGCUCCAAUAGCGUAUAUUAAAGUUGUUGCGGUUAAAAAGCUCGUAGUUGGAUCUCGGGACCAAUAUGUCGGUCGUGCCUCGGUACGUACUGGCAUCGUUGGUUUCUCCCUUCUGACGAACCAUGAUGUCAUUUAUUUGGUGUCGUGGGGAAUCAGGACUGUUACUUUGAAAAAAUUAGAGUGUUUAAAGCAGGCUCACGCUUGAAUACAUUAGCAUGGAAUAAUGAAAUAGGACGUUUGAUUCUAUUUUGUUGGUUUUUAGGAUCAACGUAAUGAUUAAUAGGGAUAGUUGGGGGCAUUAGUAUUCAAUUGUCAGAGGUGAAAUUCUUGGAUUUAUUGAAGACUAACUACUGCGAAAGCAUUUGCCAAGGUUGUUUUCAUUAAUCAAGAACGAAAGUUAGGGGAUCGAAGACGGAUCAGAUACCGUCGUAGUCUUAACCAUAAACUAUGUCCGACUAGGGAUCGGACGAAGUUAAUUUAUAAUUGACGCGUUCGGCNCCUU
rnacentral:rRNA from 1 species